GCCACCAUAGCUCAGUGGUUAGAGCACUGGUCUUGUAAACCAGGGUUCGUGAGUUCGAAUUUCACUGGUGGCU
rfam:Strongylocentrotus purpuratus Contig25352_fixed, whole genome shotgun sequence.